ACGGAGGGUGCAAGCGUUUAUCGGAUUUACUGGGCGUAAAGCGCACGUAGGUGGUUCGUUAAGUCGGAUGUGAAAUCCCCGGGCUCAACCUGGGACCUGCAUUCGAUACUGGCGGACUUGAGUACGAGAGAGGGGGGUGGAAUUCCAGGUGUAGCGGUGAAAUGCGUAGAUAUCUGGAGGAACACCGGUGGCGAAGGCGGCCCUCUGGCUCGAUACUGACACUGAGGUGCGAAAGCGUGGGGAGCAAACAGGA
rnacentral:rRNA from 1 species